AAAUGUGCAAUGCAAAGAAGCAUAGAUGUAUGAGAAACAUUAGAACAAUCACCUUAGCAGCAAAUGAUAAUUCAAAAAUUGCGCAUUGCAGAGGAAAAAGAAAUUGAAGGAACUUUGAGUUGUAGUAUUUAAUUCUUUUCAAUUACAAACAAAUUCAAACAGAUCCACAAUCACAUAAAUCCUAAUAUUUCCGAGUAACAAAUAAAUAAAUAAAUAAAAGUCUAAUGCUAUUUAAAAGAGGACCUAAUUAUAAUUCUGAUAUACUAGAUGAUCAAAUAGCAAGGAAAACCAAUUAAACCACAUUUUGAACAGAAAACGAAGGAAACCUAUUAAAAUAAUUUCCCAUGAAGCAGAGUCACGGACGCUAACAAAACAAGCAAAAAU
rnacentral:misc_RNA from 1 species